UUUCUUUCACAUUUGGGUAAAUCAAUUAUCACAUUCAUGCUGCCCAACCAAAUCAACUCCUUCUAGGCAGUGUUUGAGUUGAACUGGGCAACUAAAAAUAUAACCCACUCUCUCUCGUAUAUAUCUCAUCAAAUUAUCACUAUUUCUUCCUUUUUCUACUUCUUCCAAGUGCAGGAAAACCCCAAGGAGUUGUGGGUUGUUGAACAGUUGAAGCUAUUAAUCAUGAUGUUGGAGUAUAAAUUUUAUCUAUUUGUAUACCCUUAACUUGUUACAUGGUCUUUUUGUUAGAUUUUUUUCUGUAAUAUAUAAGCAAUCUGCUUCAUGCUCUCUCUCUCUCUCUCUCUCUCUCUCUCUUAUUUAUUCUAAUUUUGUGAUUAUGGGAUGACAGAACGUUGAUGAUCCUGAUCAGGCAAACAAUGCAGAACGUGGACCAUGUUCAGAUCCACAUGCUAUUUUUGAGGACUUAGGAGACCUUAACAGCUUGGUUGGAUUGGGAGAAGGCAGUUUUUCCUGUGGCCAGAAAAAUGAAUAUACUACAAGCGCAAUGCUUUAUACAGGUGAUAUAUUUAGGUCUUGUGACCAUGACUUUUUGGAGUUGAUUGACCUAGAGACGCCGCCACCGCUCUGGCAGAAUAAACAUGGAAGUGAUAGCCAAGAUAAGUAAGGUUAAAAAAUUGAGGGAAGUAUCCCAGAAAAUUGAUUGAACUAUAGCCCCAAGUACCUAACGUGGAUUAGAAUAAACAAAAGGUUCUCUUCCUGUUCAUUUAAAAACCAUCAUGGCACCAGUUUUCUAUUUGACAUUAAUUUCUGGAAUUACUUGACAAUGAUAUCAACUGACAAGAAUGUUGAUUAAAAUCUAGUUAUUUAUUUUCUUUGGUUGUGUUAUGUUUGAUUAAAAUCUAAUUAUGCUGGAAGUUGUUCCAGACAUUUUUUGCCGUGAAGAUUUAUUAAAACUAUAGUGCAAUUUGAAAAUGGUAUUCGUUAGGGAGAUUUUAAUGCAGUUUGUUUUUGGGCAGGGGGAUUGACUGAAUUGAAAAUUCAAAUUGAUUUUUUUCUUACUGUCCUAUAAGUUUUUUUUUUGGGGGGGUUGGGGGGGGGGGUGCUAAAAGGACUUCGGAGCUCCCAAUAGCAUAAUGAAAGCAAAUUGAUAUGACGCUCGAGGUUUGUCCCGUUUGCUCCCCACCUUUUAUGUUUUUUUAAAUAAAAUAUUUUUGACGGAAUAAGUCUUGGGAUGUAAUGGAAGAGAGAUGUUUGAGGAGGUGGGGUGAGUGUGGAGUGGAGAAUGGGUGAGGGGGCGUAAGGGAAAGGAAUUUCAUAAAAUAUCAAUAGUGGUGAUGGGAAGAUGAAAAAGCUGGAGAAAAUCAUGAAAUCCUUGGUUUGGUAACAGGAAGAAAAGAAGAAACUAUUAUUUAAAUGUUCUCUUUUUUUUAUCAUGAAAUCAUGUGUGGAUUUCACAAUCUUAUCUUUCUACUUUAUUUAAAUGUUCUCUUUUUUAUCAUUCUUUUCUCCUCAACUUCGGGUCUUUGAUUGCCCUUGAAAAAAUGUUUUGAUCAAAAGAAAAUUGAUUGUUCUUUAUUUGAUUGGAAGAAAAAAUAUUUUUUAUUAAAUGGAAUUAUAUUGAACGCAAUAUUCUUUAUUUAUUUUAUUUUGUAAAUUAUUUUUAAAGUAUUAAAUUUUAUACUUUUUACAAGGGAGGUUUUUGUGAAUGUUAAAAAACAUGGAAUCAUGCGUAAUUUUAAAAAUUUUCAGGUGCCAGUAAAUAUUUUUUUUAACUAUUAUAUUAUGAUUUUUUGACUGCUAUUAUAUUAUGAUUAAGAUUAUGGAAAUGCUAGUGUUUUAAAAUUACUUGUUUUUAAGUAAGGUUUUGAUACUACAUUUUCUUAGAAGCUUUUAAAAUAAAAAAUAAUAAAGUGAAAACGUGAUGGUUUAAUGUUACUAGUAAGAAAAAUAGAUGUAAAAAAAAUGAAAAAAAUAAAUAGAAUGUUUCCAUAAAUUGAACAAGUAUUUACAUGUUAGUUACAAAUUUUGUAGUCAAAUCAAUGUGGGAUCAAUAUCUUUGGUGUGUUGUACAUUUAAAAUUUGGGCAAGAAUUCUCUCAAACCGAAUUAAUAAGGUGUUGGACAAACUAAUUAAUCAAAGACAAAGUGUGUUUUUGGGUGGUUGACACUUGGUACAUAAUGCUUUGAUAGCAAAUAAGGUGGUAGGAGACAAAAAGAUUAAAGAAAAAGUGUUUAAUUUUCAAAGUGAUUAUGAUUCAAUGAGUUGGGAGUUAAUCCGGUUGGAUGAUAAAUGGAUAAUGUGGAUUAAAGGAUAUUUGGUGAGUUAAGAAGUUUUGGUAUGUAAAUGAAAGUCCAAUAAAGGAGUUUUUAGUAUCUAAAGGAUUAAGACAAGAAGAUUAUCUUGUUCAUUUCUUAAAAAAAUUUAAAAGCAAAUUUGGCACUAUAAGAGUUGAUGCCGAUGAGAUGGAGAAGUAUGCACAUUUCCUUAAUUGCAAAAUUUUACAUUUUCCUUUUACAUAUUUAGGUAUUCCCAUAGCAGCAAAUCUUAGGUUAGUUGAUGCUUGGAAACCUAAUGUUCAUAAAUUUGAGAAAAAAUUGUCGGGUGAAAACAAAACAAAACAUUGUCUUAUGCGGAGAGGGUAAGUCUUAUUAAUUCAGUCUUGAUCGCUUUGUUUCUUUUUUAUUUUUUCAAAGUUUCAAAUUGUGUGGGGAAAAAACUUAUUAGUAAACAAAGGAAUUUUUUGUGGGGUAGUGAGGAGAGAAAAAAGAAAAUUUGCUGGAAUAAAAUUUGUCAACAAAAAAACAUGGUGGUCUGGGUAUAAAAAAUGUUUUCACUUUUAAUCAAGCUCUUUUGGCAAAAUGGAGAUGGGAAUUAAUGAUGGUAAUAGAGGUUUAUGGAGUGAGGUGGUGGAGUCAGGGGUGGAGAGGUUUACAACUUGAUGGGGUAAAUAAAAAAUCAUCAAUUUGGUCGAGAAAUCUGUAUAUUGUUUGUGGAGGGCAAUCAUCUUCAAAGUGGUUUGAUAUUUCGGUUGAGUGGAAAGAGGGGAAGGGAGAUAAAAUCUUGUUUUAGAGUGACCCUUGGGUGAGUGAGGAGAGUUUAGCACAUAAAUAUCUUAGACUUUUUCUAAACUUUUGCCAAAAAGGGGAAUACCUAGGAAAUGUUGGUGAGUGGUGAGGGGAUGAGUGGAAGUGGAACUUAGUGUGGAGGAGGGAGUGGUUUGAAUGGAAGAAUGUAGAUGUUGAAAGAUUUUAUAGGGAGUUGAGGGAGAUAUAUUUACCAAAAGCCAUUUCGGUUUCAUGGAGGUGGCUAUAUGAUCAAUCCGGUGCAUAUACGGUCUAAGUCGGCAUAUUCAUUUAUGAGUGAUCUUGAUAAUUUGGAUUCACAUGAUACAUUUUUUUGAAGAUAUUUGGUCGUUAAAGAUUCCUCCUAAAAUUAAAUACUUUGUGUGGAGGCUCUUUAGGGAUCUAUUACUGAGUGGUGAUAACCUUACAAAAAGAAAUAUCUUUAAUAAUGGUGAAAUAUGGUUGUGCCCAUUCUACGGAGAGGAAGAAGAAUCAUUGUUUCACACUUUAUUUUGGUGCAAACCUACACUAGAAAUGACAUGCCUGCUGCAAGUGGUGCGGGUUGCAAAGCGUGUUUCCUUGCACUAAGGAACAUUAUCUGAAACAUGUGUUGAUUAAAGAGAAGAAAAAUGUUUGUGAAAAGUCGAAUUGCAUUUGGGUAGGUGUCUUGUGGUCUCUAUGGAAGGCAAGAAACAACACUAUCUUCAGGGGAGGUCUCUUCGAUAAGGACAAGAUCAUGCAAGUUGUCUUUCAUAUGUGGACAUGGCUGAAGAAUUUAGACUCAUCGUUUGGUUAUUCUUAUGACUAAUGGUAUGUAUGUUCUGGUGAGUGUAUAAGAAAUUAAUUGAAUUGGAAGGAAGAGGUGACGUGAAAUAUAUGCUGGGUUAUAAAUGAGGGUCAAUGUAUUUGGUAAAAGGGUGGUUGGGUUUCUAAGUUGUAAUAUUGGGUGAGUAUAGAGGGAGUAAUUGGGACUACUACCGGUAGUUUUGCUACCAUUGGUUAAUAGCUAUUAGUAUUUCACUAUUAGAUACUAAUAGUAUUUAACCUCUGAAAAAGUUGGCUGUAAUUAAAACAUUGGCUGCAAACAUUUCUUAUAUUUGUAUAUGAAAAAUGUUAACUAAUGUCCUAGGGUAAGAACACUGAUUAAAAAAUUAACAUAAAAAGGUUUUUAUUGGGAAAAAAAAUAUGAUGCCAUGAUCAUUUUUGUGUUCCUAUAAUUUUCACAAUAUAUUUUUUUUAUUUCUUAACUAAUUGCGUAGGAUUAGUGGUUAGCAAGAACUUUUUAUAUUUCCCUUUGUAUUUUUUGUCUAGGAAUGAAUAUAUUGAUGUUAGCAAAGGAUAAAGACAGCAGAAAAUAGAAAAAUGUAUGAUAAAUUGCUUGGCUGAGGAAACUUGUUAAUUAGUUUUUCGAACAAUAUACGUCAGGCACCAAAUUAUAUAGGCUACUUCAGAGUAGGUGUUAUACUACCUAAAGCAUAGUUUGAGAAAUCCUUAUUACGAGGAGUGAGGACUAAGGACGUCUUUACAAAUUACAAGCAAAGACUUCUUAAUUUCGUCCAAAACUACUCCAUGUAUUUAGUUGUUUUACGUGAUUUUUUUCGCUCUUAACUUAAAAGUGAAUAAUUAUUAAUUAAUAUUUAGUUGUUUUACUCAAACAAAUCUUCCAUUCUCUUUUCUUCCUUUACCCAAACAUCACCCUUGGGUAUAAAUGAAUAUGUCAUGUAGAAGUAAUUAUCGUUUCAAUGUUAAAGUUCUCGUUUAAAUUAAAUUUAGUUUAAUCUUAAUAUUUCCACACUUUUUCCAUCUUUCUAUAUUAAUUCCAGGAUAUUAUUAUUAAUUCGAUCUAAAUAAUCAGCUUAAUCCGACCCCUAAAAGGUUUAAUAUCAAUCUAGCAAUACGGGCAAUCAAAUUCUUGUCAAAACCAGCCGAGUCGUGAAUUGAUUUUCUUUCUUUUUUCAACAACUCCUACUCAAGUGACUCAAAUUUGCCUGGUUCCAAGAAGCAUAACAAUAAUACAUUAUGUCAUGACUUAGUGGCAACUUAUUACUACAAUAACGCAUUCAAUUCAUUAACCUAAACUAAAUUGGCCAGCAUGGUGCCACGAGCAAUAAACGAAACAAACAAAUAGAGGAAAAAUUCUCCUACUAUUUAGGCAUGAAAUAAUCUCCAACAAUCUGUGGAGUUUAUCUACGUUAUUCAAUGUACAUAGUCCAGAAUCCCUUCACCUAGUUGCAACUCUUUACACACUACACAAACAUUUAAAAUGACAAAUAGUGGCACAUUUUACCUUGUUUCAAUGGCAUCAGUUUCAGAGCCUCUUAAGAAAGAUCUGCGCCACCAAAUUUGGAAUGCCUUGCUUAGAUUCGGACAUUCAGUACCAUGGCUUGAGAAAUACCUAAACCAUUCCAUGAAGAGCAUAUAUUGUUGAUUUAGAGGUAGAGUAAGAAGUGUUUGACCCAUAGCCUCUUGCAAGACCUUUAUAUCAAGCCCUCUUCUACAUCUCUGAAGCCAACCAAAGUCCAAAAGCAUAGGCCGGAACCAUGCCUGAAGAAGCCCCGAUCGAGCUUCCAACCGACAUUGCAAUUUUCUGGUAGCCAUGGCAACAAAGAGAAUCGCUGACACGCGACUUAGUUCAUAUCUAACCAUAGGGGAUGCAUUUUCAUGCAUUUUGAUAAGUUGGUGCUGAUCCGUCCAUAUGUUCACAAAGUCCUCUGCUAUUUGCCCAUCAAGCAUGAUUUCCAACAACCAGUUGAUGUUAUCAACCUGUCUUGAGAUGCGUUCGAUCAAUGGCUUAUUCUUAUCUUUCUUUGUCAACCUUUCAGUGUCAGAUGCCUCCUCAAAGAGGCUUAUCAAUGUGUCCAGACAUGAUUGGCACACAGAAUACAGAUCCUCCUUGCUGAGGUCAAGGUGAUUCUUCUCAUACACUGAGCUUUUGCAAAGAAGACCCUUCACUAGUGUCUUUAGUUCAUUUCUUGCAUUGUUAUCCACACAGGUGGUGAUAGACCAUACAAGUUGUCGAGCCACAUUAGGCUGGGAAGAAGAAUCUACUGAAUCGUGCAAGUAAAGCCUUCCUAGGAUGUCUCUUGUUGUUGCUUCAUCAAACUUGAAUCUUGUGAAUAGACUUCUCAGUUUUUCUUCUUCUUCUUCAGUCCAAGGCACAGCUUCAAGGUAUUGUAAACAAGACAAAACACCCUUGGUGAACAUGAUGCCUGCUGAAACCUAGUAAUGCAAUCAAACAAUCAUGUAAGAGACUAAAGAGGCACCAUUGUGUAGGCUCAACACAAAAAAAGUUGCUUCAAUACCGAAAGUAUCAAAAUUCAUUUUCUAGCGCAUUUUCUUCUAAUUUCAUGCGACCCUUGGAACCUUUCCUAAGGAAACAGUCUAUUCCCUCAAACCAAAAACAUUUCAGGGAAAUAUAAAUAAAAUGAACGCAUUGACAAGCUAUGCAAGAAACCAAUAAAAAAACAUACAUAUCUAAGGGUGUGUUUGAAACACAAUUUAGUCACGUUCAACGCCAACCCACUGUGAGAGAAGGAACAUGCAUUGGAAAGUGGAAUGUGGGUAAUACAAACACGCUCCAACAAAUGUCUUGGAUGUUUAGAGGAAAAAAAAGAGAUAAAACUUAAAACAAUUAUUUAGUUACAUUUUGUGUUAUUCUCCCGUAAAAUAUGAAGUUUAGCUUU
rnacentral:lncRNA from 1 species